UGAGAAUAUACUUGCAACAGCAGCUAUAAAAAAGCUGAAAACUACUCCCGGCCCGGCAAUAUUUUUCGCCACCAUACCGGCAACUAGAUACAUCCCAGUGCCACAGCAAGAUCCAAUACCAAGAGAUGUUAAAUCCAAAGUCGUUAAACAUUUCUAAAGUGAAUAGUAGUAAGUUCGUAUAUUCAAUGAAAAUAGUUGGACUUACCGUGAGCUUAGGUUUUGCACUUCGUGGAUCGUCUCCUUGAAGUGUUCUUAAGUCUUUCGUCCGGACAAGUUUUGAAAAAAGUGUUACUCCAGAUCCAACUCGAGGCAUAGGAAAGGGCAGCUUCAUGAUUUCUAGAAACAUGUAAUUUUCUUAUCAGUGUAAAAUUUACAAAAGUGUUAUCAAUUACCUGUUUAUUUUUCGACGAUUGUGAAUUAUAUAUUUGGUGCGAAACAAGCGUCCUGAGAGAGUUCCACUACGACUUAAUCAAUAAGAUCCUGCUACUCACUAAUUUCCUAUUGGAAUUGAGGAGUAAGAUGAAAAUAAUAGUUCAAAUAAAUCAACACUUGUUGAGCAUCAGGAAAUGUCGUCAAUGGUACAACAGGCCAGGUCCGACAAGUUGAGUAGUCUAAAUAUCAAUUAUAAUCACAUUGGAUAGACUUUUACGAGUGCAUAUGAGACACAAUCGAAAUUGAUGUAGAAUGCUAUAAUGUGAUGCGGACAAAUAGCAAAAUCUGGAGCUCGCCUUAUAAGUUUGAAUCCUUCACGUUAGGAUAGAGCAAAGCAACUCCCUAACCUCAUUGGAAUCUCAAAUUGACCCAUAUUGUCAAUAAUAAUUUUAUUGAAUUUUAUUAUGUUAAUAAAUGCGUCCAACUUUGGUAACUUCGAUUUUACAUUGACAUUGUAACUGUCUUCUUAAAGAAAGAAACAAUUAAAUAUGUUUCGAACAUUACCUACUAUUCCUAAUAUUUCAGUUCGCGUAUAGCCUGCCACUUCAAGCGAACUGGAAAG